rnacentral:rRNA from 1 species
UGGGGAAUAUUGGGCAAUGGGCGCAAGCCUGACCCAGCAACGCCGCGUGAAGGAAGAAGGCUUUCGGGUUGUAAACUUCUUUUCUGAGGGACGAAGAAAGUGACGGUACCCCAGGAAUAAGCCACGGCUAACUACGUGCCAGCAGCCGCGGUAAUACGUAGGUGGCAAGCGUUAUCCGGAUUUAUUGGGUGUAAAGGGCGUGUAGGCGGGAGUGCAAGUCAGAUGUGAAAACUAUGGGCUCAACCCAUAGCCUGCAUUUGAAACUGUACUUCUUGAGUGCUGGAGAGGCAAUCGGAAUUCCGUGUGUAGCGGUGAAAUGCGUAGAUAUACGGAGGAACACCAGUGGCGAAGGCGGAUUGCUGGACAGUAACUGACGCUGAGGCGCGAAAGCGUGGGGAGCAAACAGGAUUAGAUACCC